GCGUCUUCCCCGGCUCGGGAGUCCUUGGGGUCCGGGCAGGACAGCGGCUCGUCCGCGGCCCACUCUGCGCCUGCCGUGCCCGCGCCGCAGUCGGAGUGAGAAGCCGGGGCCUCCCGGGCGGGGUCGCUGCUUCCGCGGUUGUUGGGUCCUGACUUUUCAUAACUCAGAAAGUGAUGCCACCAAGAAACCAGAAACACAAACUUCCUGUUCCACUUCCAGAAGGCAAGGUUCUGGAUGAUACGGAAGGCAAACAAUGGGUCCUGGGCAAGAUGAUUGGCUCUGGAGGAUUUGGAUUGAUAUAUUUAGCUUUCCCCAUUAAUAAACCAGAGAGAGAGGCACAACAUGUAAUAAAAGUGGAGUAUCAGGAAAAUGGCCCAUUAUUUUCUGAACUUAAAUUUUAUCAGAGAGCUGCAAAAAAAGACUGUAUCAAAAAGUGGAUAGAGCUCAAACAACUUGAUUAUUUAGGAAUUCCUAUGUUUUAUGGAUCUGGUCUGACUGAAUUCAAGGGAAGGAGUUACAGAUUUAUGGUAAUGGAAAGACUAGGAAUCGAUUUACAGAAGAUCUCAGAACAGAAUGGUACUUUUAAAAAAUCCACUAUCCUCCAGCUAGGUAUCCGAAUGUUGGACGUACUGGAAUAUAUACAUGAAAAUGAAUAUGUUCAUGGUGAUAUAAAAGCAGCAAAUCUACUUUUGGGUUACAAAAAUCCAGAUCGGGUUUAUCUUGCAGAUUAUGGACUUUCCUAUAGAUAUUGUCCCAUUGGGAACCACAAACAGUAUCAGGAAAAUCCUAGAAAAGGCCAUAAUGGGACAAUAGAGUUUACUAGCUUGGAUGCCCAUAAGGGAGUAGCCCUGUCCAGACGAAGUGACGUCGAAAUCCUCGGCUACUGCAUGCUGCGGUGGCUGUGUGGGAAACUUCCCUGGGAACAGAACCUGAAGGACCCUGUGGCUGUGCAGACUGCUAAAACAAAUCUGUUGGAUGAGCUCCCCGAGUCAGUGCUUAGAUGGGCUCCUUCGGGAACCAGUUGCUGUGAAAUAGCCCAGUUCUUGGAAUGUGCUUAUAGUUUAGCAUAUGACGAAAAGCCAAAUUAUCAAGAGCUCAAGAAAAUUCUGAACCCGAGUGGCAUUCCCUUAAGACCACUAGAAUUUUCCACUAAGAAAGAGAAUGUUAAUGUGCAUACUCCAAACAAUCAAAAAAUUGAUUCACGAAAGGCUGCAACAGAGCAAGUCAAUCAGAUGCAAAAUAGGUUAAUAGAAAAAAAAUUCCCCGGUGAAAGAAGUGCUGAGUCCUGUACAUCACAGAGAGAAGGGGGAGAGGACAAGCAGCUCACUGGCCUGGUGAACAGUGAAGCGGCUCAGGAAAGCAUAAGGAGAAGACAAGAUUCUCAAGAACUUCGGAAGUUUUGUACAGGUAUAUAUGCCUAUAGAAUUCGAAAAGCACCAUUGGUCUUUAAAAAACAAAACAAAACAAAACACCUGCAGCAAAAGAAGAGAUGCAAUAGUAAAGCAGAGGUGAGGUCUUCUGGCAAGACACACCACCCUGAGGGUGACUGAAGCAAUGUUGCUGAGUAAGAAGUGCUACAAAGGAAGUGAAGCAGGAAACAAGGAUCUGAUUCCUAGCCAAAGGAAUCACGCAGUGACAUAAGUUCAAUCUUCUAAGCACUGAGUGAAUGGAUAACAUAUGAGACAUCCACAAAUACUAAACAAUAAAAAGAAUGAAUAUAUUACAUGCUGUGGUACGGAUGAACUUCAAAAUAAUUAUGCUGAGGAAAGAAGCCUCGCCUCAAAUAGUAUACAGAAUUAUGUAUGAUUCUAGAAAAUGCAAACACAUCUACAGCACAAGGAGCAGAUAGUAAUUGCCUGGGAGUUGGGGGAGGAACAGGUGGGAGGGACCACAGCAGGAAGGAGGUGACAGAAAUGUUUAUUAUCAUGAAUGUGGAGAUGAUUUCAUGAGUAUAAAUAUUUGCCAAAACUCACCAAAUUGUAUACUUUAGAUACGUUCAGUUUAUUUCAUGUCAAUUACACCUCAAUAAAGCUGUUUUUAAAAAGCACUCUGAUUUCUGGACAGUAGGUAGAUCUACAUAGCAGUUGUUCAUUUGCAAUAGUUUUUUAAAUUAUGAACACAAUGUAACAACUCCUUACAACAAGGCCAAAGAAGAAUUUAGAAACCCUCCACAUGGAGACAAAGAACAAUUUAUACACCCAACAUUUGGAGAAUGAAAUUUUAUUACCCUCAUGUGUAUAUAUAGAUAUAUAAAAUAUGUAUAUAUUAGAGAAAAAAGGAGGAAAGAUAUAUGGGGACAAAGAUGUGAGCUAUUAAUAAACUGUUAUUAAAUUAUGUUAAACUAGGAAAGCACUUAAGCAGAGAAGUGUGAACACUGCCAAUCUCAAAAUGUAAUGCUUAUUAUCUUUAAAAGCAUUUUGUUACUUUUAUAAUACCUGAAGUGAAGUAAUAAUGUCAGUCACUUAACCAGAUCUUAGAGUAUAAUAUCUUCAUCUUAAGUACUAUUAUUUCCAGUAUUUUAAUAAUUUUCACAUAGUCCCAGAAUAAUCUUUUGUGCUCUGAUGACACUUAAAUUAAUAGCAUAAUUUUCUGGUACAUGCAACAGUUGCUUUCCAUUCUGAUUUUUUCAUUCUUCCCUAAAAUACUUGCAGAUAAAUCCUUGAAUAAUCAUUCUUAUCGUUAUCUUUGGGGGAUUCAAAAGGCUUCAAUAGAAUAAGGAAAUGCUGUAUUAAGAGGUAACAAUUUUUAAGAAAUUUAAUUUUAAUAUUAAUUGACCUCUUUCUAAUCAGCUAUCAUUAAAGAAGUGAUAAAUCUUCUAAAUAUUCAGUUCAUUUGAUACUUCUUACAUGCUUCACUGAUGUUCUCAACUCUUGCCAUAGGUGUGUCUACAAAUGAAUCUGUUUAACAGAUUAACUGUCGAGCAAUCCAUGAAGAACUUCUAUACUUAAGUUUCUUUUUGACUAUAACUGACCACUGAUGAUUUAAAUAUUUGCUACUUAUUUUUAAUUCAUGUGAAAAGGGUUAUCUGCCCCAGGGCCAAAUGAACCAUAGUCAGAGAAUGACUAUAGUAAUUUUAUUAAAAAAGAGAAAAAGAAAGAAAAGUUUGUCUAGUACAUGUUAAAAAUAAGUAGGCACUUUCAAUCUUAUGCUUAGCUACUCUAUCUUGUAGCUUAUUAAAAAUCAAAACCACCCCAGUUAGGAAAAAAACAAAUCAGUCUAGCUUUCUGUUCCAAUUAGGUUAUAGCAAAAAAGGGGCACUACCACCCUGAUUGAAAAAGUCAGCUAUUAUCUAAUUUUUCAUCAUUCACACUAAAAACAACAAAAUAAGAAAAUAAAUGGUGACAAUAAUCUUUAUCUCAGAUAAAGUCAAGACUACUUGAAAGAAUGCCAGUAUGCUGUGGCUGCCAGUGUUCAGAGUCAGGUAACUAACUGCUAACAGUGAUAUCACUAAUAAAUAAAAAAAUCCUGCCCCAGUGCCUACUCUUUACCAACUCCAGUAUUCUGGUUUGCUUCCCUACAUCUACCUGCCACCUGGUUUGGUUUCUAACAUUCAACUUUUGUUUCAGCACAAAAAGAUGGAGGCAUUUCCUAGAUGAAAAUGGUAGCGUCUCUCAGUGAUUCUACUCGGUCAUAUAUGAAUUAAGACUAACAUUAUCACUAUUGUUUUUAAGCUACUGGAUUUUCAUUCUCAAAAUAGGCAUCUUUUUCCAAAAGAAUGGUUCAAAACACACAUGCCCAUAUAUACAUGCACACAAAUACCCUUAUAUUCCAAGUUAGCCUUGGAUUAAAAAAAAAUUUAAGUAUAAACAGACACACUGUAUCAAUUUACUAGAGUCCCUGGCAAGAACAAAAUAGGACUUAAGGAGUGUUAAUAAAUUGUACUUGUGUUGAAAUAAAUUUGUCUAAAUGAGACUUGCUAAAACUAUAAAACAAAGUCUCUUUAUAGCCAUGAGGAAACUAGUAUUUUUAUUUUUUAUUUUUUUAAUUUGGGACACCUGCUAUAUAAGAAUGUUUUACUCAGUUACUCCAAACUGUAACAUUAAAUAUUAGCCCAUCCAAAUGUUAAUAAUAUAUUACCAAUAACACUGUAAAACCAAACAAUAUUUCUCUCACCACCUCUUUGCUAUGUUAUUUAUGAUGCAAAGUAUAUAUAGUCAUCUGCCACAUCUACAUAAGCUGAUGAGGUGACAGUUAUUUUUCCUUUGAUUAUUGCAUAUAAAUAAAAAUGUUGUCUUUAAAAUAUAUGUAAUUCAAUAUAUAUUGAUACCAACUGUUUGCUGUUAAUAUAUAUACAUAUAUAAAAAUAAAAGUAUACAAUAUAAUGUAAAUGU